GAUGGUUAUAAUUUAAUGGUAAAAUUUCGGACUGUGGAUUCGAAUAUAAGGGUUCGAUUCCCUUUAAUCAUCA
rnacentral:tRNA from 1 species